rnacentral:misc_RNA from 1 species
UGUAACUUUGCAGAAUGAGGGAAAAAUCCAGAUAUUAUGGUCUUCUUUAUCGCAUCCAAGUCAUUCAAAUUUGAAGUUAAUUCGAUUUCAACUCUUUCUAAAAGCCCUUCAAGUUGAUCUCUGAUAUCUCUGGCACGUUUCAUACUUCUAACCUGGAUGUAGUUCUCGUAGCACCAUUGCGUAGAGUAAUUAGUUUCCCUCCAUGAGUUGUAGACCUUCAACAGUGCAAUGUGAUCCCCCACAUUCCCAGUGUGAAAAUUCAUCCGAGCAUUG